GUCGAGGGGCAGCGGGGUAGUAAGCUUGCUUACUACUGCCGGCGACCGGCGCACGGGUGAGUAACACGUAUGCAACCUGGCCGUCACAGAGGGAUAACCGGGAGAAAUCCCGCCUAAUACCGCAUAAUACCGGGGAAGGACAUCCUUUUCCGGUCAAAGGAGCGAUCCGGUGACGGAUGGGCAUGCGCCGCAUUAGUUAGUUGGCGGUGUAACGGACCACCAAGACGACGAUGCGUAGGGGUUCUGAGAGGAAGGUCCCCCACACUGGUACUGAGACACGGACCAGACUCCUACGGGAGGCAGCAGUGAGGAAUAUUGGUCAAUGGGCGAGAGCCUGAACCAGCCAAGUCGCGUGAGGGAAGACGGUCCUAUGGAUUGUAAACCUCUUUUGCCGGGGAGCAAAAAGCGGUACGUGUACCGCAUCGAGAGUACCCGGAGAAAAAGCAUCGGCUAACUCCGUGCCAGCAGCCGCGGUAAUACGGAGGAUGCGAGCGUUAUCCGGAUUUAUUGGGUUUAAAGGGUGCGCAGGCGGCGAGUUAAGUCAGCGGUAAAAUUUCGGGGCUCAACCCCGACGAGCCGUUGAAACUGGCUUGCUAGAGUGGGCGAGAAGUAUGCGGAAUGCGUGGUGUAGCGGUGAAAUGCAUAGAUAUCACGCGGAACUCCGAUUGCGAAGGCAGCAUACCGGCGCCCAACUGACGCUCAGGCACGAAAGCGUGGGU
rnacentral:rRNA from 1 species